rnacentral:misc_RNA from 1 species
AGAUCAUAUAUAUCUACAAUGCCUUCGCCUAUAUAUAGAAGUACAACCACAUAACUCUCAUCAAAAUGGAACUAAAAUUGGAAUACCAGUUUGGCAAUUACGAAGCACUAGUCCCAUGCUGUGCUUAAAGCUUCAGUUCUCUUCCAAAAAUCCAGCUGAAUGGCACAGUAGAAGAAGCUUGCUUCACCCUUCCCUGAGCUCUCUCCUCCAGCCUUCUAAUUCUUGCAGGCAAUCCGCAUACAAAAUCCUGUGCUCUACGUCCAUCACCAGAAAGACCUGUCAGCUUCUCGACUUUCCAUCUUCCCACCAGAAAUUCCAGAAUAUCAGCAUAGUCCUUGGCAGUGUAGACCCCAAUCCGCUGGGCAACAGUGGAGUAGUGUUCAAAAAGAUUAUCAUCCUGCCCAUCAUACA